UUGGACAUGGGCGCAGCCUGAUCCCGCCAUGCCGCGUGAGUGAUGAAGGCCCUAGGGUUGUAAAGCUCUUUCACCGGUGAAGAUAAUGACGGUAACCGGAGAAGAAGCCCCGGCUAACUUCGUGCCAGCAGCCGCGGUAAUA
rnacentral:rRNA from 1 species